CCUACGGGAGGCAGCAGUGAGGAAUAUUGGUCAAUGGGCGCGAGCCUGAACCAGCCAAGUAGCGUGAAGGAUGACUGCCCUACGGGUUGUAAACUUCUUUUGUAAAGGAAUAAAGUGAGGCACGUGUGCCUGUUUGUAUGUACUUUAUGCAUAAGGAUCGGCUAACUCCGUGCCAGCAGCCGCGGUAAUACGGAGGAUCCGAGCGUUAUCCGGAUUUUUUGGGUUUAAAGGGAGCGUAGAUGGGUUGUUAAGUCAGUUGUGAAAGUCUGCGGCGCAACCGUAAAAUUGCAAUUGAUACUGGCAGUCGUGAGUACAGUUGAGGUAGGCGGAAUUCGUGGUGUAGCGGUGAAAUGCGUAGAUAUCACGAAGAACUCCGAUUGCGAAAGCAGCUUACUAAACUGCCACUGACAUUGAUGCUCGAAAGUGUGGGUAUCAAACAGGAUUAGAUACCCUUGUAGUC
rnacentral:rRNA from 1 species